UACGGAGGGUGCAAGCGUUAUCCGGAUUUACUGGGUUUAAAGGGUGCGUAGGCGGACAGGUAAGUCCGUGGUGAAAUCUCUGAGCUUAACUCAGAAACUGCCAUGGAUACUAUUUGUCUUGAAUACUGUGGAGGUAAGCGGAAUAUGUCAUGUAGCGGUGAAAUGCUUAGAUAUGACAUAGAACACCAAUUGCGAAGGCAGCUCACUACACAAUUAUUGACUCUGAGGCACGAAAGCGUGGGGAUCAAACAGG
rnacentral:rRNA from 1 species